rfam:Pleurotus ostreatus PC15 unplaced genomic scaffold scaffold_05, whole genome shotgun sequence.
UCCGAUAUGGUGUAACGGCUAACAUUGCCGCCUUUCAAAGUGAUCGCGGCAGCUCGGGGUUCGAUUCCCCGUGUCGGAA